UACGGAGGAUCCAAGCGUUAUCCGGAAUCAUUGGGUUUAAAGGGUCCGUAGGCGGUUUGGUAAGUCAGUGGUGAAAGCCCAUCGCUCAACGGUGGAACGGCCAUUGAUACUGCCAGACUUGAAUUAUUAGGAAGUAACUAGAAUAUGUAGUGUAGCGGUGAAAUGCUUAGAGAUUACAUGGAAUACCAAUGCGAAGCAGGUUACUACUAAUGAUUGACGCUGAUGGACGAAAGCGUGGGUAGCGAACAGG
rnacentral:rRNA from 1 species